AUGGAGCUAAUUAGUGGAGCCACCCUCUUCUUGGUUUCUCUCAUCUCAGUGGUGAUUCUAGUUUCCUUGCUUAGCCGCAAACUAUCACCAAGUUCCAAGAAGCGGCGGCCUCCCGGCCCAUGGCGUCUGCCCUUGAUCGGAAACCUCCACCAGAUCCUCACGCCAAAGCUGCCGGUCGUCCUCCGGGACCUGGCCAAGAAGCACGGGCCGGUGAUGGGCCUCCGGCUGGGCCAGGUCGACGCCGUGGUGGUCUCCUCACCGGCGGCGGCGCAGGAGGUGCUCCGGGACAAGGACCUCGCAUUCGCGUCGCGGCCGAGCAUCCUCAUGUCGGAGAUCAGUCUCUACGGAAACCUCGACGUCGCCUUCGCGCCGUACGGCGCGUACUGGCGGGCGCUGCGCAAGAUCUGCGCGGCGGAGCUGCUGAGCGAGCGGAAGGUCAGGCAGUUUUCUCCGGUGAGGGACAAGGAGACCAUGUCCCUCGUCAGCAACGUUCGCGAGGCGAGCAGGGGCGGCCAGCCGUUCGACCUCCGCAGGCUGCUCGUGCUGUGCUCGAAUUCGGUAACCGGGAAGACGGCGUUCGGGGAGAUGUGCAGCUCCGAGCUCCAGGAGCAGUUCGCGGUGAUGGACGAGGUGCUGAAGCACGGCACGGGGCUCUGCGUCGGGGACCUCUUCCCGUCGCUGUGGUUCGUCGACGUGGUCACCGGUCUGAGAGGCCGGCUAUGGCGAGCCCGCCGGCAGCAGGACGAGGUCCUGGACAAGAUCAUCUCUCAGUCCGAAGUGAGGCAAGGUGAUCACGUUCUAAGCUCUUUGCUUAGCAUCAGGGACAAAGGGGAGAUGGAACUGGACAACGUCAAGGCAAUCAUCAUGGAUAUGUUCUCGGCCGGGACGGAGACGACAUCGUCGGCGGCCGAGUGGGUCAUGUCGGACCUCAUGAGGAACCCGGAGGUGAUGAUGAAGGCGCAGGCUGAGGUGCGACGGACGUUCGACAAUAAGAGCUCUCAAGACCACGAGGGACACAUAGUGGAGCUACACUACACCAAGAUGGUGAUCAAGGAGAGCAUGAGGCUACAUCCAGUGCUGCCGCUGCUGAUUCCCCGUGUCUGUCGAGAGACCUGUGAUGUCGGUGGGUUUGAGGUCACGGAGGGCACCAGGGUUAUGGUGAAUACCUGGGCAUUGGGUAGGGACCCCGAGUACUGGCAUGAGCCUGAGGAGUUCAGGCCGGAGCGGUUCGAGGAUGGCACGGCGACCUACAAAGGCUCGCGGUUCGACUACUUGCCGUUCGGAAGCGGGAGGAGAAUCUGCCCGGGUGAUACCUUUGGGGUUGCCGUGUUGGAGCUCAUCAUGGCACGACUUCUCUACUACUUCGACUGGAGCCUCCCCGCCGGAGUGAAGCCGAGUGAGCUGGACAUGGAAAUGAUUGUUACCUUAACCUCGAGGAGGAAGAACCAGCUGCACCUAGUGGCGACACCGUAUAAGGCAUGCUUAUGUUAA
rnacentral:rRNA from 1 species